UAAUACAUGCAAGUCGAGCGGACAGAAGGGAGCUUGCUCCCGGAUGUUAGCGGCGGACGGGUGAGUAACACGUGGGUAACCUGCCUGUAAGACUGGGAUAACUCCGGGAAACCGGAGCUAAUACCGGAUAGUUCCUUGAACCGCAUGGUUCAAGGAUGAAAGACGGUUUCGGCUGUCACUUACAGAUGGACCCGCGGCGCAUUAGCUAGUUGGUGAGGUAACGGCUCACCAAGGCGACGAUGCGUAGCCGACCUGAGAGGGUGAUCGGCCACACUGGGACUGAGACACGGCCCAGACUCCUACGGGAGGCAGCAGUAGGGAAUCUUCCGCAAUGGACGAAAGUCUGACGGAGCAACGCCGCGUGAGUGAUGAAGGUUUUCGGAUCGUAAAGCUCUGUUGUUAGGGAAGAACAAGUGCAAGAGUAACUGCUUGCACCUUGACGGUACCUAACCAGAAAGCCACGGCUAACUACGUGCCAGCAGCCGCGGUAAUACGUAGGUGGCAAGCGUUGUCCGGAAUUAUUGGGCGUAAAGGGCUCGCAGGCGGUUUCUUAAGUCUGAUGUGAAAGCCCCCGGCUCAACCGGGGAGGGUCAUUGGAAACUGGGAAACUUGAGUGCAGAAGAGGAGAGUGGAAUUCCACGUGUAGCGGUGAAAUGCGUAGAGAUGUGGAGGAACACCAGUGGCGAAGGCGACUCUCUGGUCUGUAACUGACGCUGAGGAGCGAAAGCGUGGGGAGCGAACAGGAUUAGAUACCCUGGUAGUCCACGCCGUAAACGAUGAGUGCUAAGUGUUAGGGGGUUUCCGCCCCUUAGUGCUGCAGCUAACGCAUUAAGCACUCCGC
rnacentral:rRNA from 1 species